AUUCGCCAAAAAUGAUCAUAAUCAAUCACUUUGACGCUGCUAACGUUACUUUUUAAGUUCCCCGGUACUCACCUGUUAACUCCUCCCCCUUUUUAAAGUAGACGACGUUUCCAAACUCAAGUAGUACAUUCAAACUUGCUUGAAUUUUUCUAAACUAUCAUACUUGCGUAGAAGACAUGCUACUUAUUCUUUGUAUUUCUGAAAGCGUUAUCUAUUGACUUAAUAUUGGUAGAACUCUCAGCGUGCUUCAGAAUUUAAAUACUGGAGUAGGCAGUCAACCGCGGUUACGUUGGUGAUCUUUGGCCACCAUUUCAUGUGUAGCUAAAACUCGCUAGAUCAAAAGCUAACAUCUCUGUCCUGUUUGAGCCGGCUAGUGAUCUACGGGUUACUGUGCAUUUAAUUAACGAAGUUAUCGCUUCUCCGAGACGUAGUUAUAACCAUUACCUAAGGUUUGCUGCGAAUUCUGGUGCAAAUUCCGGUCGUUUAUACAAAUCACAAACUAGUAAAAUUGCUUGGUAAGUGGCUGCAGAUAAAUCAUUUUUUAAGUGCUGAAAAUUAAUGACCCACCUGCAACUCUACAACUGUAGGCUACAACGAUGCUCGUUGCACACUGGUGCAAUAUUCCUUCAAAGGAGGAAGAAACAGACUGAGGGCCUGAAGCUCACAGCUACAGAGAGUGGCGUAGCCAGGUGGCAAUAGGACUGCAGAUUUGCCUGCCAUCCCAGUCAUCCAUCCUGCGCACCGUCCCGCGAAAACGUGUCCACUGGCGAGGGCUACGGGAGUCAUGGCCUGCACCCCACACCCCGUGCCAGGCUAAUUUUGGGCCUGGGCUGUCUCCGGCUGCCCCCCUCAUUAAUCACCACGCAGUUGGAGGUGAAAAAAACAAACAAUACCCUGAGGACGUGAGGGGCGAUUUUCAAGUGGUGGGAACGAGUUUACAACUUUUCAAAAAUAUAACGUCCUCAGCAGGGGGUUUAGGCCCAUGAAUCUGCCAGUUGAUAAAAGUUAACACUCAGCGGAGUAUGUCAGGAGGCCCCACCUCCACCCUCUCACCAUCUGCGGGGGGAGAGACAUUCACACCAACAAUUAGUACUUAAUAAAUCAGAGUCUCAUUUUAGCACCUUCGAUUGUUGUGCUGUGGACGCGGGGUUAGGUUUUGGGGGGAUCCUGCUGCCAUUUUUGUGCAGUACAACGCAUGUCUUCAUUGUUUGAUAGAUUGUAGACCACUGGUCAUAAUCAAAAUGCGAGAACGUCUAUUUCGCACCCAAUUCUUUAACACGGGAAAAGGAUUUUUAAAAAAUGAAAUGAUAUUAAGACAACGAUGUCUGUGGCAUUAGCAGGCUGUGUAAUUUUCAGCUCUGUAUUUGAGUUAACGGUCUCUCGCUUCAGUAAACGAGCUCCGUCCUGACACUGCGUGCCAGUCAGUGUGUGACAGAACGGGAACACCUGUGUCUUCUGGCCCUAAAGACCGUGGCGGUGUUCUGAGACAGCGGGGAGUCCGGUGAACUCCAGGGGUAAAGGUUUGUUUGUAGAAGCAGGUGUCUCGGUGUCUCAGUAUCACCGCCCGUCAUGCCCCGCAUAGCUGCGAGGCCUGGGUGGCCCGAAAACAGGUGUUCAGGUGGAACUUUUGCUCGCAGCACUAUUUGAUUAUUUAAUCACUGGGAAUAACUGUGUAAAUGAUACAUAAUGAGCGCGCGGAUCUGAGGGGGGGGGGUGGGAACUACAGCGUGGAAGGAUACAGUGUGUGUCUAAAGCCGGCAGGGGAGCGGAGAAACCCAACUCUCCCCCUCUAAUGAUCGCUUGGGAUGUUCUGUUCUGCCUGGUCAAGUGGAACAUUCCAGAUACAGUUCCCCGUAUUGUGCGUCAGCAUGUGGGCUCUGGGCUUUUCUAAAUGACCUAAUCAAUGAUAAAAGUGCAGGUUAUAGAGUUACCGCGCGGGCUGCAGUAUUCCACCGUCGCAUUUCAAAUUGCUGUUACGGGCCGGGACCGUGAACGAAUGCGCAGACGUAGAAACCGACCCGCUUGGAGCCCCUUAUUAAAUCGGACCCGCUCCUAGGAUAGAUUUGGAAGACGCAGCAUAAAUCCGGCGACCCAUACGCUCUGAAUGUGCAAGGCCAGUCCGGUAAGCCGAUACGCUGUGGGUAAACCUGGGACAUCAGCGAGGCUCUCGGGUCCUGUCACGGUGCCACGUCCGCCAUCAUUUAUGGCCCUCGUGUCACCAGGUCGUUACAUCAGUUUCAGGAUUUACCAAUAUGAUGACACGCAAGUUAGGCUUUAAUUUAUGCAUCUAAUUAACUGUACGCGAUUUCACGCAGUUAAUCCCGUGUUUCAAGGCAUUUUUAAGAUCUGCGUGGAUCUACAGGAUCAAAACCUGGCUGUGUCUUAUACUGGUGUGUGGUUUUGUUUGUAUUUGGCUGAGUGGGAGUGAAAUCGCCUUGUUUUGCAGGUGAGAGGAAAUCCUGUGUUUAGAAAAAUUACGGAGACAGUGAUUCAUUUGUGACAAAAUCGGUACAAUGAUGUGGGGUGUUGCAAAAGGGAGCUGCAUGUUUCAAAAAUGAACAGUGAGGAGAAUGGAAUUGUGCCAGGGCUGUUUAUAUCUCUUAAUAUGUCUCCUCGUCUUUGUUCUGUAUUACGAUGUCUGCUCUAAUAUUCUUUUCAUUAUGUUUAUUAAAAGAUA